UACGGAGGAUCCAAGCGUUAUCCGGAUUUAUCGGGUUUAAAGGGUGCGUAGGCGGAUUGAUAAGUUAGAGGUGAAAUGUCCGAGCUUAACUCGGGAACUGCCUCUAAUACUGUUGAUCUAGAGAGUAGAUGCGGUAGGCGGAAUGUAUGGUGUAGCGGUGAAAUGCUUAGAGAUCAUACAGAACACCGAUUGCGAAGGCAGCUUACCAAUCUAUAUCUGACGUUGAGGCACGAAAGCGUGGGGAGCAAACAGG
rnacentral:rRNA from 1 species